rnacentral:tRNA from 1 species
GGGCCUAUAGGGUAGAGGAUAUCCUGACGGACUUCGAAUCCGUCGACUUGCGUUCGAGUCGCAAUAGGCCCG